rnacentral:rRNA from 1 species
AACGAACGCUGGCGGCAUGCCUAACACAUGCAAGUCGAACGAGACCUUCGGGUCUAGUGGCGCACGGGUGCGUAACGCGUGGGAACCUGCCCUUAGGUUCGGAAUAACUCCCCGAAAGGGGUGCUAAUACCGGAUAAUGUCUUCGGACCAAAGAUUUAUCGCCUUUGGAUGGGCCCGCGUUGGAUUAGCUAGUUGGUAGGGUAAAAGCCUACCAAGGCGACGAUCCAUAGCUGGUCUGAGAGGAUGAUCAGCCACACUGGGACUGAGACACGGCCCAGACUCCUACGGGAGGCAGCAGUGGGGAAUAUUGGACAAUGGGCGAAAGCCUGAUCCAGCAAUGCCGCGUGAGCGAUGAAGGCCUUAGGGUUGUAAAGCUCUUUUACCCGGGAUGAUAAUGACAGUACCAGGAGAAUAAGCUCCGGCUAACUCCGUG